UGGGGAAUUUUGGACAAUGGGGGAAACCCUGAUCCAGCCAUGCCGCGUGAGUGAAGAAGGCCUUCGGGUUGUAAAGCUCUUUCGGCCGGAACGAAAUCGCGUCUUUUAACAGAGGGCGUGGAUGACGGUACCGGAAGAAGAAGCACCGGCUAACUACGUGCCAGCAGCCGCGGUAAUACGUAGGGUGCGAGCGUUAAUCGGAAUUACUGGGCGUAAAGCGUGCGCAGGCGGUUUUACAAGCCAGACGUGAAAGCCCCGGGCUCAACCUGGGAAUGGCGUUUGGGACUGUAAGGCUGGAGUGUGGCAGAGGGAGGUGGAAUUCCACGUGUAGCAGUGAAAUGCGUAGAGAUGUGGAGGAACACCGAUGGCGAAGGCAGCCUCCUGGGCCAGCACUGACGCU
rnacentral:rRNA from 1 species